rnacentral:rRNA from 1 species
ACUAAGCGUACACGGUGGAUGCCCUGGCAGUCAGAGGCGAUGAAGGACGUGCUAAUCUGCGAUAAGCGUCGGUAAGGUGAUAUGAACCGUUAUAACCGGCGAUUUCCGAAUGGGGAAACCCAGUGUGUUUCGACACACUAUCAUUAACUGAAUCCAUAGGUUAAUGAGGCGAACCGGGGGAACUGAAACAUCUAAGUACCCCGAGGAAAAGAAAUCAACCGAGAUUCCCCCAGUAGCGGCGAGCGAACGGGGAGGAGCCCAGAGCCUGAAUCAGUGUGUGUGUUAGUGGAAGCGUCUGGAAAGGCGCGCGAUACAGGGUGACAGCCCCGUACACAAAAAUGCACAUGCUGUGAGCUCGAUGAGUAGGGCGGGACACGUGGUAUCCUGUCUGAAUAUGGGGGGACCAUCCUCCAAGGCUAAAUACUCCUGACUGACCGAUAGUGAACCAGUACCGUGAGGGAAAGGCGAAAAGAACCCCGGCGAGGGGAGUGAAAAAGAACCUGAAACCGUGUACGUACAAGCAGUAGGAGCACAGAGCAAUCUGUGUGACUGCGUACCUUUUGUAUAAUGGGUCAGCGACUUAUAUUCUGUAGCAAGGUUAACCGAAUAGGGGAGCCGAAGGGAAACCGAGUCUUAACUGGGCGUUAAGUUGCAGGGUAUAGACCCGAAACCCGGUGAUCUAGCCAUGGGCAGGUUGAAGGUUGGGUAACACUAACUGGAGGACCGAACCGACUAAUGUUGAAAAAUUAGCGGAUGACUUGUGGCUGGGGGUGAAAGGCCAAUCAAACCGGGAGAUAGCUGGUUCUCCCCGAAAGCUAUUUAGGUAGCGCCUCGUGAAUUCAUCUCCGGGGGUAGAGCACUGUUUCGGCAAGGGGGUCAUCCCGACUUACCAACCCGAUGCAAACUGCGAAUACCGGAGAAUGUUAUCACGGGAGACACACGGCGGGUGCUAACGUCCGUCGUGAAGAGGGAAACAACCCAGACCGCCAGCUAAGGUCCCAAAGUCAUGGUUAAGUGGGAAACGAUGUGGGAAGGCCCAGACAGCCAGGAUGUUGGCUUAGAAGCAGCCAUCAUUUAAAGAAAGCGUAAUAGCUCACUGGUCGAGUCGGCCUGCGCGGAAGAUGUAACGGGGCUAAACCAUGCACCGAAGCUGCGGCAGCGACACUGUGUGUUGUUGGGUAGGGGAGCGUUCUGUAAGCCUGUGAAGGUGUGCUGUGAGGCAUGCUGGAGGUAUCAGAAGUGCGAAUGCUGACAUAAGUAACGAUAAAGCGGGUGAAAAGCCCGCUCGCCGGAAGACCAAGGGUUCCUGUCCAACGUUAAUCGGGGCAGGGUGAGUCGACCCCUAAGGCGAGGCCGAAAGGCGUAGUCGAUGGGAAACAGGUUAAUAUUCCUGUACUUGGUGUUACUGCGAAGGGGGGACGGAGAAGGCUAUGUUGGCCGGGCGACGGUUGUCCCGGUUUAAGCGUGUAGGCUGGUUUUCCAGGCAAAUCCGGAAAAUCAAGGCUGAGGCGUGAUGACGAGGCACUACGGUGCUGAAGCAACAAAUGCCCUGCUUCCAGGAAAAGCCUCUAAGCAUCAGGUAACAUCAAAUCGUACCCCAAACCGACACAGGUGGUCAGGUAGAGAAUACCAAGGCGCUUGAGAGAACUCGGGUGAAGGAACUAGGCAAAAUGGUGCCGUAACUUCGGGAGAAGGCACGCUGAUAUGUAGGUGAAGUCCCUCGCGGAUGGAGCUGAAAUCAGUCGAAGAUACCAGCUGGCUGCAACUGUUUAUUAAAAACACAGCACUGUGCAAACACGAAAGUGGACGUAUACGGUGUGACGCCUGCCCGGUGCCGGAAGGUUAAUUGAUGGGGUCAGCGCAAGCGAAGCUCUUGAUCGAAGCCCCGGUAAACGGCGGCCGUAACUAUAACGGUCCUAAGGUAGCGAAAUUCCUUGUCGGGUAAGUUCCGACCUGCACGAAUGGCGUAAUGAUGGCCAGGCUGUCUCCACCCGAGACUCAGUGAAAUUGAACUCGCUGUGAAGAUGCAGUGUACCCGCGGCAAGACGGAAAGACCCCGUGAACCUUUACUAUAGCUUGACACUGAACAUUGAGCCUUGAUGUGUAGGAUAGGUGGGAGGCUUUGAAGUGUGGACGCCAGUCUGCAUGGAGCCGACCUUGAAAUACCACCCUUUAAUGUUUGAUGUUCUAACGUGGACCCGUGAUCCGGGUUGCGGACAGUGUCUGGUGGGUAGUUUGACUGGGGCGGUCUCCUCCUAAAGAGUAACGGAGGAGCACGAAGGUUGGCUAAUCCUGGUCGGACAUCAGGAGGUUAGUGCAAUGGCAUAAGCCAGCUUGACUGCGAGCGUGACGGCGCGAGCAGGUGCGAAAGCAGGUCAUAGUGAUCCGGUGGUUCUGAAUGGAAGGGCCAUCGCUCAACGGAUAAAAGGUACUCCGGGGAUAACAGGCUGAUACCGCCCAAGAGUUCAUAUCGACGGCGGUGUUUGGCACCUCGAUGUCGGCUCAUCACAUCCUGGGGCUGAAGUAGGUCCCAAGGGUAUGGCUGUUCGCCAUUUAAAGUGGUACGCGAGCUGGGUUUAGAACGUCGUGAGACAGUUCGGUCCCUAUCUGCCGUGGGCGCUGGAGAACUGAGGGGGGCUGCUCCUAGUACGAGAGGACCGGAGUGGACGCAUCACUGGUGUUCGGGUUGUCAUGCCAAUGGCACUGCCCGGUAGCUAAAUGCGGAAGAGAUAAGUGCUGAAAGCAUCUAAGCACGAAACUUGCCCCGAGAUGAGUUCUCCCUGACCCUUUAAGGGUCCUGAAGGAACGUUGAAGACGACGACGUUGAUAGGCCGGGUGUGUAAGCGCAGCGAUGCGUUGAGCUAACCGGUACUAAUGAACCGUGAGGCUUAACC